CCAUCCAUUUUCUUCAGAGAAGCUUGUUGUGCCGACUUGUAAUGGAUUGAGGAAGUCUGGUUUGAAAUUCUCCUCAUCUUCCUCAUUCGUUGCCCGUCCUAAAAGCACUAGACUCCAGAAGUCUGGCUUUGUUUGCAAAGCUCGUGAAGCUGUGGAUCAAGGUAAAAUCAGCUGCACAAUCUCUGCUCUUUUUGGUGUUUUUGAUAAACUGCUAGUGUGCUAUCCCUAAUACAAUAGUGUGAACUACAAGUACUUCUGCUUGUUUAAUGUACUUACGAAUCAAGUAAGUUCAAGAACUGCAUAUAUCGGGUCAAAUUAAUAAGCAAAGUUGAAGAACUAAUAAUGGUCUGAAUGCUUGGUAAUCAUUUGUAGAAUGGAAUGUAUUAUGAUAUGUUUUCAUGUCAGGCAGGUUAAGUUUGUUUUUUCAAGUAAUCAAGUGAAUUCUGCAAAACUGUAUUUCUCUUUUUUCCUCUCUUUAUACUAAAUGGCAAUUGCUAGCUUUACAUAAACUCCACCAAUUGGUGAGGGUUUGUAGCUCCAGUGAUAAAGAGUUUGUAAGCAAGGUUAGACUUCUAACAUUUCCCACUUCCUUGUAUGAAAAACAAAUCCUUAUUUUGCGCAAGUGAAAUUUCUUGGUAAAUGUUAUUUUAGAAGGAAAAGAAGUGCAACAGAGUUGGCCUAAAGUAUAUAGAUAACGUAAUACAACUAUAACAUCCUUACUCUCUGAGCGGGGUGCCAAUUGGUUUUGUUUUUAUUUACAAUUAAACCGAAUGAGAAAAAAUAUUAUUUAAUUAAGGUUAUUAAUUUAUCGAUUUUGCCUUAAUUUCUUAUUUUAGGACCAGCAAAAAAUAUUAUUUAAUCGAGGUUAUUAAUUUAUUAAAUAUUCAAUUAUCGAGGUUUUACUUAGUUUCGGGUUGGAUGUUCUCGUACCUCUUUGUUUCCGAUUUUUCAAUUGCUGAAUUCUCGAUUUUUAAUUUUUUAUUUUAGGACCAGCAACAAAUAUUAUUUAAUCGAGGUUAUUAAUUUAUCGAAUACUCAAUUAUCGAGGUUUUACUAUAGUUAGUUUUGGGUUGGAUGUUCUCGUACCUUUCUCUGUUUUCGAUUUUUCAAUUGCUGGAUUCUCGAAAAUACUUCUUCAUGCACAUCAAAUUGGUCGAGUUAACUGAAUCAUGUGAAAUGUGC
rnacentral:lncRNA from 1 species